rnacentral:rRNA from 1 species
GACGAACGCUGGCGGCGUGCUUAACACAUGCAAGUCGAACGGAAAGGCCCUGCUUUUGUGGGGUGCUCGAGUGGCGAACGGGUGAGUAACACGUGAGUAACCUGCCCUUGACUUUGGGAUAACUUCAGGAAACUGGGGCUAAUACCGGAUAGGAGCUCCUGCUGCAUGGUGGGGGUUGGAAAGUUUCGGCGGUUGGGGAUGGACUCGCGGCUUAUCAGCUUGUUGGUGGGGUAGUGGCUUACCAAGGCUUUGACGGGUAGCCGGCCUGAGAGGGUGACCGGCCACAUUGGGACUGAGAUACGGCCCAGACUCCUACGGGAGGCAGCAGUGGGGAAUAUUGCACAAUGGGCGGAAGCCUGAUGCAGCGACGCCGCGUGCGGGAUGACGGCCUUCGGGUUGUAAACCGCUUUCGCCUGUGACGAAGCGUGAGUGACGGUAAUGGGUAAAGAAGCACCGGCUAACUACGUGCCAGCAGCCGCGGUGAUACGUAGGGUGCGAGCGUUGUCCGGAUUUAUUGGGCGUAAAGGGCUCGUAGGUGGUUGAUCGCGUCGGAAGUGUAAUCUUGGGGCUUAACCCUGAGCGUGCUUUCGAUACGGGUUGACUUGAGGAAGGUAGGGGAGAAUGGAAUUCCUGGUGGAGCGGUGGAAUGCGCAGAUAUCAGGAGGAACACCAGUGGCGAAGGCGGUUCUCUGGGCCUUUCCUGACGCUGAGGAGCGAAAGCGUGGGGAGCGAACAGGCUUAGAUACCCUGGUAGUCCACGCUGUAAACGGUGGGUACUAGGUGUGGGGUCCAUUCCACGGGUUCCGUGCCGUAGCUAACGCUUUAAGUACCCCGCCUGGGGAGUACGGCCGCAAGGCUAAAACUCAAAGGAAUUGACGGGGCCCCGCACAAGCGGCGGAGCAUGCGGAUUAAUUCGAUGCAACGCGUAGAACCUUACCUGGGUUUGACAUGGAUCGGGAGUGCUCAGAGAUGGGUGUGCCUCUUUUGGGGUCGGUUCACAGGUGGUGCAUGGCUGUCGUCAGCUCGUGUCGUGAGAUGUUGGGUUAAGUCCCGCAACGAGCGCAACCCUUGUUCACUGUUGCCAGCACGUUAUGGUGGGGACUCAGUGGAGACCGCCGGGGUCAACUCGGAGGAAGGUGGGGAUGACGUCAAGUCAUCAUGCCCCUUAUGUCCAGGGCUUCACGCAUGCUACAAUGGCUGGUACAGAGAGUGGCGAGCCUGUGAGGGUGAGCGAAUCUCGGAAAGCCGGUCUCAGUUCGGAUUGGGGUCUGCAACUCGACCUCAUGAAGUCGGAGUCGCUAGUAAUCGCAGAUCAGCAACGCUGCGGUGAAUACGUUCCCGGGGCU